rnacentral:rRNA from 1 species
GAAUGUUGGACAAUGGGGGCAACCCUGAUCCAGCCAUGCCGCGUGUGUGAAGAAGGCCUUCGGGUUGUAAAGCACUUUUGGCAGGGAAGAAAAGGCUCUGGCUAAUACCUGGAGCUGCUGACGGUACCUGCAAAAUGAGCCCCGGCUAACUACGUGCCAGCAGCCGCGGGAAUACGUAGGGUGCAAGCGUUAAUCGGAAUUACUGGGCGUGCAGCGUGCGCAGGCGGUUCGGCAAGAAGGAUGUGAAAUCCCAGGGCUUAACCUUGGAACUGCAUUCUUAACUGCCGGGCUAGAGUAUGUCAGAGGGGGGUAGAAUUCCGCGUGUAGCAGUGAAAUGCGUAGAGAUGCGGAGGAAUACCGAUGGCGAAGGCAGCCCCCUGGGAUAAUACUGACGCUCAUGCACGAAAGCGUGGUGAGCAAAC